UUCGAAAAGAACACACUUACCUUUCCUUAUUUUUUAAUUUAUUUAUUUAUUUAUUUAUUUUUUUUGUUUUCGUUUCUGUCAACACUAACACCGACAACAAUGAUGAAAAUUAACCGGUGGCACGAUCUUGUGGCAUUACUAUGACAAUGACAUAUCAAUAAAUGACGUUUGGGCAAAGAUCGUGCCAUGUGCAGCUACGAUAAGCCUUUGAGCGCCGCACAGACAUCAGUCGACCCCGUGCUUGUUCAACAAAGACAGAGCCCCACUGAGGUUACCGUUAACCUAACCCUUUCACGAACGGAAUCUGACCUGGCCACCCACGAGAAAGUGAGCGAAUGCCAAAAUGAGUGCAAAUAUGUUGACAUUGAUGACACUCAUCGAAAGUCGAGGUCAGCAUACGAGGAGUUUUUAGAUGUUCAGGAACGAACACGAAAUAACUCAAUGGUGAGUGGGGAGAGAGGAAUAAAGCAGCCACCUAGUUUUCAUGAUGAAAAAGGAGAAAACGAGGAUCAUGUUUACGCUGUAGUACACAAAUAAAGAAAAGGCAGAGCCGGUUCUGAAGGAAGCGCCCUCAAAAAGCCUUCGGACCACCCUGAGAAAGGAACCAGUGGGUUAUCUGUGAACCCGGCGUCCUGUAUAGAGAUCGAGGACUACACAAAGGCCGCCGUGAACGAGACACUCCAGGCUGGCAAGAACGCAGAACACUUGUAUGAAGUUCUUGACAACACAAACAAGAAGGAUCAUGAUUACGCUGUAGUUCACAAACAAAGAAAUGGUAGAGUCUGUUCUGAAACUUGCGCCCUCAAAGAAUCUCCGGGCCGUCCUCAGAAAGGAACUAGUGGGUUACCUGUGAACCGGGCGUCCUGUGUAGGGAUCGAAGAGACACCUCAGGCUAGUGAGAAAGCAGAAUACUUGUAUGCAGUUGUUGACAAGAGAAACAAGAAGAAGAAAGCGCCACAGGUGCCCACUCCCUACCGUGGUCUUGUAUACCCAGUUCUGGUCCAUUCCCGAGGAAACAGUGCCUAGCUUGUCCAAGGACAGUCCGAAACAUUAUACUCCCACAAUGAUAACGUCAAGACAGCAAGCAUGAAGAUAUCACGGCAGGGUCUAGAGGAACGAAGGAAAGGGAACAUUAGUGAACUCUGUUUGUUUCCAAUCCUAAACAUGAUUUAAAUAUAAACAUAAAAAGUUAACUCAAAGCUUAAAGAAAAUAAUAACAUAUCAUUGUUGUGGAGACAGUAAACUGUAAUCAUUUGUUUUGUAACUUCAAAUACCGGACUAUUUUGCUAGAAAUAAUUUUCAGUGAAUUGUACCAAAAUGGUUGUAACAACAUCAACUGUUGUGUAUCAGAAUGCUCAGGAUUAUUCUCUUUAGGUGCAUAUAAAACGGAAAAAAUCAGAAUUACUUACUGAUUGUAAGUAGUAAUAAAUCGGCGUUUCGCGCAUAGGCCUACCGAAGGAAAAAGUUUUAAAGUUAAAUGCACUUUGUACUUGGUGUUUGUUUUCAUACAAUAGGGAAGAUUUCGUUCCACAUAGAGUCGGUGUACCGAGUAAAGUUCAAAAAUUUGUAAAUAUCCCGAAUGUCUUUGUCCUUUUAAAAAGUAAGUCAUACACUCUCGAGAUCUGAUGAUAUUGAAUUAAACUACAGCGUCUAAUUGUUAUACCUGUU